UACGUAGGGUGCGAGCGUUACUCGGAAUUACUGGGCGUAAAGGGCGCGUAGGCGGCUUUGCGUGUCUUUCGUGAAAUCCCUCGGCUCAACUGAGGACGUGCGGAAGAAACUGCAGGGCUGGAGUCCGGGAGAGGAGGGUGGAAUUCCUGGUGUAGCGGUGAAAUGCGUAGAUAUCAGGAGGAACACCGGUGGCGAAGGCGGCAUCCUGGACCAUGACUGACGCUGAGGAGCGAAAGCCAGGGGAGCAAACAGG
rnacentral:rRNA from 1 species